rnacentral:rRNA from 1 species
UUCGCAAUGCCCGAAAGGGUGACGAAGCGACGCCGCGUGAGCGAAGAAGGCCCUAGGGUUGUAAAGCUCUGUCGGGGGUUAUGAAAUGUAGAUCGGUUAAUACCCCAUUUAUUUGACAAAAGCCCAAAAGGAAGCCACGGCUAACUCUGUGCCAGCAGCCGCGGUAAUACAGAGGUGGCGAGCGUUGUUCGGUAUUAUUGGGCGUAAAGAGCACGUAGGUGGUUUUGUAAGUCAGGUGUGAAAGCCUUCUGUUCAAAGGAAGAACGGCAUCUGAAACUGCAGAUCUUGAGUGUAGGAGGGGAGAGUGGAACUUCUGGUGGAGCGGUGAAAUGCGUAGAUAUCAGAAGGAACGUCGGCGGCGAAAGCGACUCUCUGGCCUAUUACUGACACUGAGUGUGCGAAAGUUAGGGGAGCAAACGGGAUUAGAUACCCCGGUAGUCCUAACCGUAAACGAUGGGCACUAAGUAGAGGGGUUUU